rnacentral:rRNA from 1 species
CAGCAGCCACGGUAAUACGUAGGUGGCAAGCGUUGUCCGGAAUUAUUGGGCGUAAAGGGCUCGCAGGCGGUUUCUUAAGUCUGAUGUGAAAGCCCCCGGCUCAACCGGGGAGGGUCAUUGGAAACUGGGAAACUUGAGUGCAGAAGAGGAGAGUGGAAUUCCACGUGUAGCGGUGAAAUGCGUAGAGAUGUGGAGGAACACCAGUGGCGAAGGCGACUCUCUGGUCUGUAACUGACGCUGAGGAGCGAAAGCGUGGGGAGCGAACAGGAUUAGAGACCCCAGUAGUCCCUGUCUCUUAUAC